UACAGAGGUCCCGAGCGUUGUUCGGAUUCACUGGGCGUAAAGGGUGCGUAGGUGGUGAGGUAAGUCGGAUGUGAAAUCUCCAAGCUCAACUUGGAAACUGCAUUGGAAACUACCUUGCUAGAGGAUUUGAGGGGGGAUUGGAAUACCUGGUGUAGCAGUGAAAUGCGUAGAUAUCAAGUGGAACACCAGUGGCGAAGGCGAAUCCCUGGAAAAUACCUGACACUGAGGCACGAAAGCUAGGGGAGCAAACAGG
rnacentral:rRNA from 1 species